GUAGGAGCAGCAUUCGCAGAGGACUUGGCAUGCAAAGGAAGAAAAGUGGAGCUCCUGGCAGGACGCCAGCUGUUCUCCCUCUCACUGACUUGCCCUCUCAGUUUGCCGCAGAGAAAAGAACGUGCUUCCCCUACAGUCUACUAGCACUCAUCUGCUAUCUCCCUACCCUUCCCCCUCUCCUGGAGUGCACAGCCUGACUCAUUAGUCAGGGCCAGGGCCGGAUGUGCUGCAAAAGGAGAGCUUACUGUAACUGAAAAGUAUACCUGAGACAUGAAACACAUACAGAUUUUCUCAAAGAAGUUUUACGUCGUCAUGUUCCUCAUUCGUAUGACUUAACAAAAGAGACAGAGAGUCUCUAUGCACUCAAAUCCCUGAACUAUGCACACAAAUUCCUGAACCCCAAUGGGAUGCACCCACGAGUGCUCAGGGAGCUGAAAGAAGUGAUUGCAAAACUGCUCUCAUUUUUAAAGAUCAUGGAGAAUUGGAGGGGUGACUGAAGACUGGAGGAAAACCAAUGUCACUCCAGUCUUCAAAAAAGUGAAGGAGGAAUGAGGAAUCUACAGGCCAGUUAACCUCAACAUUAUCCCUGGGGAGAUGAUAGAACAGCUUAUUUUGAAUGUCAUCUCCAAGCAAGUGGAAGAAAAUAAGCUUACCAGGAGCAGUCAACAUGGAUUCACCAAAGGGAAAUCAUGCUUGACAAAUAUGGUAGCCUUCUAUGAUGUCAUGACUCACUGGGUAGAUGAGGGAAAAGCAGUGGAUAUUCAGCAAGUUUUUUUGUUUUGUUUUGUUUUUGUUUCUGUUUUUCAUAGAAGCAUAGAACAUCUUGAGUUAGAAAGGACCCGUAAGAAUUGUCAAGUCCAAGUCUGGGCUCCUCACAGAACCACCCAGAACUCAGACCAUAUGAUGCAUCUGGAACUCUGUCAGCUUGAGGCUGUGACCACUUCCAUGGGGAGCCUGUUUUUUAUCGGUGUCCUCGUACCAAUUCCUGUGACCUGAUAUCCAUGCCCUAGUAGCAGCAUGGAAUUUCAUAUGAUUAAGUAUAGUUUUAGAGUAAGUUUCAUGAACUUCUGAAAAUUGAUUCUGCUGAGAUUUAGAUAACAACAGUAAGCUUAUCUGGGAGGGGUGCAGUCUUCCUCUUCCAUGCUCUCAUAGUAUCUCUCAUAGUAGAUGAGUGGACAGUAAAGUGCACUGAGAUCAGUAAAGCUCUGAGUGUUGCAAUCAGUGCCCCAGAGCCUAGAUGGAGGCCUGUAGCUAGCAGUGUUUCCCAGGGGUUGGCACUGGGUCCAGUCUUGCAUAAUAGCUUCAUCAGAUGCCUGGCUGAAGGUAGAGAGUGCACCCUCAGCAAGUUAACUGAUCAUACAAAGCUGGGAGGAAUGGCACCUCCAGACAGGUGGCUGUUCAGUGAGACCUGAACAGCCCAGAGGGUUGGAUAGAGAGGAAGCUUAUGAGGUUCAACAAGAUCAAGUGUAGAGUCUUGCAUCUGGGGAGGAGUCAUUUCAUGAGUCUGUAAAGGUUAGAGGAUGGCCUGCUGGAAAGGAGCUCUGCAGAGAAGGACCUCGAUUCUUGUGGGCAACAGGUUUGCCAUGAGCCAGCAAUGCACCCUUGUGGCCAAGAAGGCCAAUAGUAUCCUGAGGUACAUUAAAGAGAACACGGCCAGCAGGUCGAGGCAUAUUCUCCACCUGACCUAUUCUCUCCUUGCAAAGCCACAUCUGGAGUUGUGUGACAAGAUGUGGGCUCCUCAGUUCAAUAAAAACAUGGAACUUCUAGAGAGAAUCCAGCUGAGGGCCACAAAGAUGAUUAGGUGCCUGGAGCAUCUCCUUUAUAAGUAAAGGCUGAGAAACCUUUGAUUGUUCUGCCUGGGGGAGAGAAGAGUGAUGAGGGAUCUUAUCAAUGCUUAUAAAUAUCUAAGGGAUGGGUGUCAGAACAGUGUGGUCAGCUGCUUUUUGGUGGUUCCCAGAGACAGAAUAAAGGGCAGUGGGUACAAACUGCAACAGAGGAAGUUCCAAAUGAACUUCUUUACUUUGGAGGCUACAGAGAACUGGAAGAAGCUGCCCAAAGGAGUUGUGGAGUCCUUUUCUCUGGAGAUAUGCAAAACCCCCCUGGACACUUUCUUCUGCAACCUACUGUAGAGAACCUGCUUUAGCCAGGGGAUUGGACUAGACGUUCUCCAGAGGUCCCUUCCAAUCCCUAUGAUUCUCUGGUUCUGUGUUAGAUUCACCUUUAUCAGAUGUGUAUCACCAGUUUGAUGAUCUCUCAAACAAAAUCUGUCAAAUGACAACAUAAUUUACAGUGAUAACAUAUGAAAUACCUUGUGACCUCAAUUGGUUUUCUUUGACUAUAAGUUUAACUAGAAUUCAAAUAAACCACCAGGAAACUCUUGUAUCUUUUUAGAGAUUUACCUAUUGCAAAAAAAAAAUGACCUCCUGCUCAACUGUUCUGAUAUAUGCAUAUUAGAGAGUGUCUUUAAGAUAUUUUGAAGACUAAAAAUAUGUAUAUUUACUGUAGAGUUUUUGUAUAUCUUUUUGUUAUUAUCAAAACAAUAAAAAAAUACACAUUCCCAUUUCCAGGUACAAUUUAGAAUAUAAAGCAAGAAAGAAACUAUGUAUUUGAGGAAAUUAAGUGUUAUACAGUACAGAAUCUGGUACAGAAUUGGCACUCUGCAGAAGUCAAGAAUAAUCUCAAAACAUCACAAAAAAAAAAGAAAAGAAAAAAGAAAAAUAAUAUUUACAAAGUUUUUUGUUUACAGUUUUGCAGUUUAACUUGCGUGCUAAGAAGUAUCGAAUCUAUAGAAAAAAAACGUUUUUACUCUGACCUCUUUCUACAUUGUUUCUGGCUUGUUUGCUUUGUUUAUUUAAAGCACAUCAUUGAGACAGCUGAAAGUAGAUCAGUAAACUGUGAAAUGUCUCUGACAGUAUAGUAGGAAGUUCAUUUGAUGUAAUAAGUUGGAGUUGAAAGGUGGUUUUAUAUUUUUUCCUGAAUAUGAACAACUAUUGCCAGUUGCAACUAUUGAGCAUAUGGCUAACCAUUUUUUAUGAAUUUAAUAUCUUUGAUCUGAGAAUAUAUUUCAUCUACAAGAGAAGAAAUCAGACAUAAACAUUAGCUGCAGAAAAAAAUGUGACAGCUUGGUUUAGGGUGGUAAAUAGAAAUUUAUUCUCUCACACACACACACACACACACACAAGAUAAAUAUAAAGCAAGAUGUGCAUCUCUCAAUAAUUUCUUAAGGAAGAAAACACCAUUCCAGUGAUAAAUGAAGUCUUGCUUGCUUAACUGUUGAAUACUAUCAGUUUGUAAAACAGAGAUAGGUAGUGAAGUCUGUGUACAAGACAUUCCUGAAAGUAUUGUUAUUUUACUCUGAACUAUAAAUGUUAAAGUCUUAAUUAAAGAGAUAUGAAAAAGGUGUGAUAUGCUGAAUUAGUUGAUGAAUUGCUUGUUUGAUUAAAGUAUAAUUAAACAGAUUUGUUUUUAUUUCAUAUUCCAUAAAUGAUAAAUGACUCUCAAACUAGUUCCAUAAUUAAGAUACACAUAUAGUAAGUGAAGAGAUUAAUGUUUAAUUAACUAAGGUCUUAACUAUAAUACUUGAGGCGAUAUUCAUUAAGGAAAAUCUACAGUAGUUAUGCUGGGCUGACAGUUUUUUUUUUUUAUGGAGCUUUUGUAUCAAAGAUAUUGUGUAUGAAGAACUAGGAUAAUUUCUGGAACAGCCACAGGGCUUUUUCUUCAAAGAGGUCAUUCAUAGGUAUAGAUUUUUACUUUUUAUAAAUUAUACAUCUGUGCUGAUGAAAAUUUACUGAUUCUAACACUGGGUACCUUAGAUAGCUCCUUGAUCAAAUUAAUCUUGACCAUGAUUAUAUAACUGAAAUAAGAUAAUAUUGAAUUCACUUUUUUUUUUUUUGAGUAAAGGUGAGGAAAUGAUAAAUUCAGUAAGAAUUUUGAAAUUUGGUUUCAUCGUGGUUCAAAAUGAAACCUAAGCAUCAUUCUCUACAUAAGUAAUUUUUUUUUUUGUUGUACUGUAUGGAAACUGUUGAAUCACAGCUUGAACCACUGAUUGACCACCUGAGGCGAGCACUGAGUCAGCUGCAGGGGCACAGAUGAACACAAUUUCACCUGAGUCACCGGAAGGGGUCAGUUGGAUUUUAUUUAUUUAUUUAUUUUUUACAAUUCUGAAAAUUGAAAAUAAAAUGUUUUGAUGUCACAUCUUGUAUGAAGUAAUUCCUAAAAUGCUAUUCCUAAAACAAACAAAAAACAAACUCAUUUCAUUCAAUAACUUAGCUAUAUUUUAUGAAAAGAAUGGGCAGUAUAUUAAAGAAGAAAGUUUACACCACUCUUUGUGAAAAGGAGUAAAAUAUGCUGUAUUAAAGAGUAGAUUUCAGAAUUUAACUUUUUUCCUACCACUAAUGAAUUUAACUUUUAAAAACCUCUUAUUUAAAAAAAAAUCUAUUUCUUUCCAACAGUACUUACAUACUCUGUCCAUCAUUUUCAUAAGAACUUGAGAUAUUUUAAAGUCGUUAGUAGAAAUAAAUGACAAUUCAUUACGAUAUAAAACAUAUGCUCUGAAAAAUUCUACCUUCCAUUCUCCUAUAUGGAAGUAGCGUUACAGUAAAUCAGAAAAGCUCAAACAUUUUUGGUAAAAUGAUGACAGAUAAGGAAAUUCUAAACAUUUUUUGAGGUUUGUUUUGGUCAUAAAUUUUUUCCUGAUGAAUGUCAAAAAUUAAACUUGGAAAAAAAGAAAAAAAAACAAAAAAGAAAGGUAAGGAAGGUAGACCAGGAGAGGGGAAGAAUGAGAGGAGGGAUUAAAUCAUUCCUUACCAGUGGAAGAUUCAUUACACAAUAAUUUAAACAGACAUAUACACUAUAAAGCACAAUCUACAAGUGACUUCCUCUCUACAAAUUCAAUUUCUUCUUCACCAAAUAGUAUUUACCAAAUAUAUUUAGAAAUGUCAUUAAUUAAACCAGGACAACAAAAAGAAAAUCCAGGUAUUUGAAUACAGUCAUGCAGAGUCCUCCACUGCAUAUCGUACAAAUAAGAAAAAGACUGAUAACAUGGCAGCUGGAGUAAUAACCUAGAUACAGGCUUUACACUUCAAGCCUAGCCCCAGAAGAAAUUUAAAAACAAAUAAAAAUCAUGUUAAAUGAACUAUCUCAUGUUUAAAAUAGCAUGUUUAUGAAUCUAUUUUCUUUGUAUAUAUUAAGCAUGAUGUAGAAGAAGGGGUGGAAUGUCAUGGUUUUAUGAUGUUUGGUUACUGGUAUUCCACAUCAUAACAUCAUGUAGUGCACUGAGAGUCAAAGAGUUAAUGCUCUAGUUCCAGACACCUGUCCAGAAGAGAAGAAGAACUACAUACCCCAGGGGGCUUUGUGGUCAGAGAGGAGAUACAACCUCUGGAAAAGUCAUCUGUUGUCUCUUUCUUCUCUCGGCUCUCAUCCUGACCACACGCGUCGCCUCAGCACUACUAUAAGGCCUAUGGCUUUCAGAUACUCUUUCUCUCAUUAUAUUUCAUUUAUUAGCUUCAAUUCUAAUUACAUUGUAUUAUAGUGUGUUACCUUGCAUUCCAAUACCAUAUUUAGUAAAUUAGUUUGUUUCUCCUCAGAUCAUUGCUGCUGGCUUUUUAAAUUAUUUUGGGGUCCCCUGUUUCCCUUUCCUGGAGGCGUGGAUUUUGUGAAAUCCCUCUGCCCUGCUAGUCAUGGAACUGGGCCGAACCAGCCCAUAAACCGUCAACACAUAGUUACAGAAUAGCCAUAGAAAGCUAAUAUUGAAAUAAUUUGAGUUCCAGGUGCAAUGUCUGACAGAAGCAGUGCAGAUUGAGAGUACAAGGAAAAGAAUAGAUACAGCAAUGUUUUCCUAGACACUUACAUUCUUCCAAAUUUUAUGAUCUGUAAUUCAAAGCCAUCUUGACCCAGAAAUGAUUUUUUUUUUUUUUUACUAUUUAAUAGGACAUAAAGCAUUUUUCUUGAAAAAAUCUAUCCAAAACAUCUUUAAACACGUGUAAACUUCUAGUGCACAAAAUGUCCUGUGGCAAAUAAUUCAAUGGCUUAACUAUGCUUUGUGUGAAUAAAAUAUUUUUCUUGUUGAUUCUGAAUCUAGCAGCUUUCAUCUUUCACUGCAAAAGAGAGUAAGCAAAAUUUUUCCACUCACACUCCCAUAGAAUCAUAGAAUGGUUUGGGUUGAAAUGGACCUUUAAGAUGAUUUAGUUUUGACAACCCCCCUGCUAUAGGAGGGAGACCUCCCUCUAGACCAGGUUGCUCAAAGACUUGGACUUGUUCCACCAUUACCGUGGGACAGAAACCACUCCUCACACCCUCACCUAGAGCCUCAUGGUCCUGGCAGACAUGGGAAGCCUGACCACCUGUGAAGACUGAGGCAAAGCACUCAUUGAGUACCUCAGCUUUUCCUAUGUCUGAGGAAGCCAGCUCCCCAUUACCUUUCAUCAGAGGGGAACACUCUCCUUGGCUUGUCUCCUCCUUCCUAGGUAUCUGUAAAACCCCUUCUUGUUAUCUUUCACAUCCCUCACCAAGUUCAGCUCCAUCUGUGCCUUGGCUUUCCUCAUCCUAUCUCUACACACAGGGACAACCGCCCUGCAUUCCUCCCAGGAUACACAACCCUGCUUCCACUUCCUGUACAUCUCCCUCUUUUCUCUCAGUUUAAGCUACAGGUCCUUGCACAGCCACAACGGUCGCCUGCCUCCCCUGCUUGACUUCUUCUGCUGGGGGAUGGAGAGCCAUUGCACUCUCAAAAGGGUGUCCUUAAAGAGCUGCCAGCUUUGUUCUGUAUCCAUGCCCUUAAGGAUAGUUUCCCAGGGGAUCCCACUCAGCAGUUUCUCAGGCAGCUGGAUGUUUGCUCUCCUAAAGCACAGGGUCCUAGCUCUGCUUUUUGCCAGGCCCACAUUCUUCCAGAUCACAAACUCCACCAAGGCAUGGUCACUACAGCCCAGGCUGCCUCCUAUCUUGACCUCUCUGAUGCUCUCCUCUGCAUUAGUGACCACCAGGUCCAGUAAGGCUUCACCUUGGAUAGGUCCAUCUAUUACCUGGACCAGGAAGUUGUCCUCGACAGACUCCAGGAAUCUCCUGGAUUGUCUGCUGCCUGCCAUGUCACCAUCCCAGCAGAUAUCCAGGUAGUUGAAAUCCCCCAUCAGGACAAGAGCCCACGAGUGUGACACCUCCUGCAGCUGAAACAAGAAGGCCUUUUUCACAGCCUCUUCCUGAUCAGGUGGCCUGUAACAGACCCCAACCACCAGAUGCUCUUUACUGGAUGGAUCCUUGAUUUUUACCCACAAGCUCUCAGCCUGACUGUGGCUGUUCCUCAGACACAGCUCUUUGCAAUUGAUCCACUUCCUAACAUAGAGGGCAACUCCACCACCCCUCCUACCCUGUCUAUCCCUUCUGAAAAGCCUGUAGUCCUCAAUCAGGGUAUUCUAAUCAUGCAAUUCAUCCCACUGUGUUUUCAUGAUAGCAAUUAUGUCAUACUUUCCCAAUUGUGCCACGGUUUCUAGCUCCUCCUGUUUAUUUCCCAUGCUGCGCACAUUGAUAUAGAGGCACUUCAGCUUAGCUAUUGGUCUCAUUGCCUUCUCAGAGGGGCCCUCCCUAAUACCUUCAGGACAAGCCUGGGGCUUUCCCUUACCACCUCCCAAGGUGACAGCGUUCCAACAUGCUUCUCUGUCUCCUAGUACACCCCCUUCCCCCAUCAUGUCUAGUUUAAAGCCCUGCUAACCAGCUGAGCCAGCUUGUUCCCAAGAAUAUUUGUGGCCCCUCUAGUCAGUUGGCUCUCAUCCACUGUCAGCAUUCCCCCUUUCUCAAGGCUGCGUCCCAAGCCAUAGUACCCAAAGCCCUGAGCAUGACACCAUUUGCAAAGCCAUUCAUUCAGUGUGUCCACCCUCUUCCUUUUGUGCAGAUCCCAGUCACCAACUGAGAGGACAGAGGAGAACACAACUUGUGCUCCCAAUCCCCUUAGAAGUCUUCCCAGAGCCCUGAAGUCCCUUUUGAUUGCCCAAGGACUUCUUUUGCCUACCUCUUCCUUUCCAAUGUGGAAAACCAGUAAUGGAUAAUAAUAAUCAGAGGGCUUAAUCAAGUGAGUGAUGUUCCUAGCACCAUCUCUCACCUGGGCACCAGGCAGGCAACACACCUUCCUCUGGGAUGGAUCCAAGCAGCAUAUUGGGCCCUCGGUUCCCCUCAGAAGGGAGUCCCCUAUGAUGACAUCCCUUCUUUUUUUCCUGACUGACAUAGCAAAACAGCAAGCAGACUGACUAGCAUUGGUCAACCUCUCCUGCACAGAUGGAUUUUCACCAACAUCCACAGCCCCCAGUCCCUCCAGCUCCAGAGCCUCAUACCUGUUACGUAAGGGCACCUGGGAAGGUGGGACAGGCUAAGGGGCAGUCCACUUGUUGCCCCAAACAGGGACUUGUUUCCAUCCCUUGCUGCAUUUGAGGUCGUCCCCUUCCCACCUGACUGUGAGACAGCAGAUGAUCCCCCACUGCUUGAAGAGCAUCUUCCCCCACACCCUUCCUGUAGGGAUGGCAGAGUGCAACUCCAUCAAUCAAUCCCCUUCUCACAAUCCCAGAUGCUCCUUAGCCUUUCUAUUUCCUCCUUUAGCUCUACCACCAGGCUGAGCAGAUCCUCCACCUGCUCACACCGCACACAGGUGGUAUCCUGGCUGCCCUCCUGUACCAGUGACAGGACCAGGCAUUCUCCACAGCCUGAGACCUGAACUGCAGCAUGGACAUUCAUGCUUUCAGUCUGAGUCUCCACGUUCCUUUAGCAACAGCUCACCUCCAUAUGGUGACCAUGGUUGAAACUUGGUGUGUCCAGAGAGCAUUGACCUGUUAAGUGACCUGUUAAGUGCUAAGUGCUAAGCCCCUCCUAUACAGCAAGGUGCCCCGCCCUGCCUGCUCACUGAUUCGCUUGGGGUUUGCCCUGAAAAUCACUCUCAACAAGAUAACAACUCACCUCCCUGUGUAGCCAUGCAAAUAGGUGGCUUACUGUUUCAACCUCAGCCCUCUGGUCAUCUUCUUGGCCCUCCUCUGGACCCACUCCAACAGCUUGAUGUCCUUCUUGUGUUGGGACCCUAGAAAUUGAUGCAGUACUCUAGGUGGGGUCUCAGAAGAGCAGAGUAGAGGGACAGAAUCACCAAUCUCGACCUGUUGGUUGCACUUCUCUUGAUGCAACCCAGGAUACGAUUGGCCUUCUGGGAUGAAAGUGCAAAUUGCUGGCUUUUAUCAGCAGUUUGCCACUAUUCUUUCAGCAAGUGACACCCGCAAAUCCUUCUCAGGGCUGUUCUAAAGCCUUUCUAUCCCCAGCAUAUAUCUGUGCUGGGACUUGCUCCAACCCAGGUGCAGGAUUUUGCACACGGGCACUCAACAUUUAAUAAACAUCUGUUUUCAAGCUUGUAGGAAAAAAAAAAAAAAAAACAAAAAAAACAAAACAAAAACUGGUACAGAUAAACUCUUAUUAGUACUAUUUAGCAUCUAAUUUAUUUACCUGUGCUGUAAAAGCAUCACAUAAAACAAAAUUGUUUCCUCUAAUUUUCAUCCAGAAACAUUCUGUCACGAAGAGGGAAAAAAGUAUCCGUAUAGAUCUUACAGCACAAAUGAAUUCUCCUUCCCAUAGACCACUGGCCAUAGGGAGAUCUAGCUACUCACUCUUCGUUUUUAUAAGGUUUCAGAACACAAAACCAUGAAAAACAUAUCCUGCCUGUAUGUCUCUAUGUAUUUUUCUGAUCUUAAAUUGCUUAUCUGGUCAGAUGCACAAAGUACUUAAAAUUGCCUGUUUAAUCUGUUUAUUUAUUUUUCUCUUGUUUCUUAUUAUUUCAGUCUCCCAUAAUUAUUUUCUAUUCUUUUAAUUGCAUGCCAGUCUUCCUGUGUAUGAGGGCUGCUCUGAAAUUAAUGCCUCCUAUUUCAUUAUGUUGGCCCACAGCAUCAGAAGCAGAUGUUGGUGGUUUGACAGUAGAGGUUGAGCCUUCCAACCAAUAUUCCAUUACAUUUGUUGCUGCAUGACAGAUGGCGGCAGAGGGGUAGUCUGACAAGCUGAUAUCUGAUAUGGGCAUGCAUAUGAAGCAAAGGUGUGUCAUUGAAUUCCUCCACGCAGAAAAACUGGCACCCAUAAACAUUCAUUGACAUUUGCUGAACAUUUCUGGAAACCAAGCAGUGGACGUUAGCAUAGUGAGAUGGUGUGUGGUGCAUUUCAGCAGUGGCAACACAGACGUGAAAGGCAAGCCACGUUCUAGACAGUUAUGUAGAUAUUCAUGAGUGUGGCAUACAGGCUCUGUUCAUCAUGGGUGAAAAUGCAAAGCUGUUGACUAUCUUAAAAAAUAGUAUUUACUAGCUGAGACUUUGUGCUAUCAAAUAAUGCUAUUUUGUCCUUUAUAUAUAUAUAUAUAUAUAUAUAUUUUUUUUUUCCCCCAUGGAAAUAAAUAAGCAUUACUUUCAGAACAAUCUACAUAAUUUUAACCCAGUGGAAGACAAACAUAAAGACACAUAUUUUUUUCCUUUUCUUAUAUGUUGAUCAUUGCUGCUUAUUAAAAGCUAGAAAUAACUUACUUCAAUAUUACUCUUCAAGGUUACUAAAAACCAAAACACCACCAUCACACACA
ensembl:lncRNA